UCCGGAGGGUGCGAUCGUUAAUCGGAAUUACUGGGCGUAAAGCGUACGUAGGCGGUUGGGUAAGUCGGAUGUGAAAGCCCUGGGCUUAACCUGGGAACUGCAUUUGAUACUGCUCGGCUAGAGUAUGGGAGAGGGAAGCGGAAUUUCCGGUGUAGCGGUGAAAUGCGUAGAUAUCGGAAGGAACACCAAUGGCGAAGGCAGCUUCCUGGCCCAAUACUGACGCUCAGGUGCGAAAGCGUGGGGAUCAAACAGG
rnacentral:rRNA from 1 species